rnacentral:lncRNA from 1 species
CUGAAUUUGUCCCUUGCUGAAGCUGCCCCAUGAGGCCUGACUGCUGGAUAACUGAGCUUCUCCAUUGCUUAUUAGAAGCAAUUGGCUGCAGCAAUAGUGAAAAGAGAUACUUAAAGCAUGGAAAAAUGUGACAUUCCAUUGGAGGAGACAGAUAUCCAAGCUUCCCUUACUUGUAAGUAUGGAUCUGAAGAAAGGCAGAUAAGGUGUGCUGACAGAUGGGACAGCCCAAUGGCAAAUUGCCCAUCAGCUGGGACAGAUGUUUGGUGCCAUUGGAAGAAAAACCUGCAAACCUGGAACAAUGGGUUACUGCUGGAUUCUGCUACUCUUUUUUUUUCCAGACUCUCUGCUUUCUGUGGUGAUCAGCUACAGGAGUGGAAAAGAAGCGGG